AUUGAACGCUGGCGGCAUGCCUUACACAUGCAAGUCGAACGGCAGCACGGGUGCUUGCUCCUGGUGGCGAGUGGCGAACGGGUGAGUAAUACAUCGGAACAUGUCCUGUAGUGGGGGAUAGCCCGGCGAAAGCCGGAUUAAUACCGCAUACGAUCUACGGAUGAAAGCCGGGGACCUCCGGGCCUCGCGCUAUCGGGUUGGCCGAUGGGUGAUUAGCUAGUUGGUGGGGUAAAGGCCUACCAAGGCGACGAUCAGUAGCUGGUCUGAGAGGACGACCAGCCAAGCUGGGACUGGGGCACGGCCCGCAAUCCUACGGCAGGGACAAGUGGGGGAUUUUGGACAAAGGGAGAAGUGCUGAUCCAGCAAUGCCGCGUGUGAGCAGAAGGCCUUCAGGUUGUAAAGCACUUUUGUCCGGAAAGAAAUACUUGGCCCUAAUACGGUCGGGGGAUGACGGUACCGGAAGAAUAAGCACCGGCUAACUACGUG
rnacentral:rRNA from 1 species